UCUAUGUAACACCUAGUUACACAGGGAGGCCAGGCCUUCGCUAUCUAUGGAGGUGAGAUCUAUGUAACACCUAGUUACACAGGGAGGCCAGGCCUUCGCUAUCUAUGGAGGUGAGAUCUAUGUAACACCUAGUUACACACCUAGUUACACAGGGAGGCCAGGCCUUCGCUAUCUAUGGAGGUGAGAUCUAUGUAACACCUAGUUACACACCUAGUUACACACGGAGGCACACACGAUAUAACAAUCGGAUGUUAUUUGUGUGAGUGGUCUGUAAUGUUCCCUCUACAGGUGUGAGUGGUCUGUAAUGUUCCCUCUACAGGUGUGAGUGGUCUGUAAUGUUCCCUCUACAGGUGUGAGUGGUCUGUAAUGUUCUCUCUACAGGUGUGAGUGGUCUGUAAUGUUCCCUCUACAGGUGUGAGUGGUCUGUAAUGUUCCC